AUAGGCUCUUGUCCCAGACGUAAAGUAGCAAGAAAGGUGAAAACAUUACUGGCGUGUAGAGGAACUUUGAGGAAAUAACAUGCCCCAAAUGUAGCAGCAGAGAUCAAUACAGGAGAUGACCAGUAGAAAAACAAACUCAAAAGAGGUCCAGCUGACAGUGCGACUAUUUUCAAAAACGCGAAGAACCCUGACAUCAGAAUCUCCUUCCAGUGGCAUGCAACAAUAGCCCACAAGAUUGAAGAUUCUGACAGCAACUCACCAGCCUGUUUCCGUUUAUUCAGUUGAUCCAGAAACUCAAAGGUUUCAACCAACAAAAUGACAUCUCACUGAACAACCCAGCUGUAGAAAACGGGCUAACUUGGGCAGCUGAAUCAGUCUCUCCACUGCCAUUAUCCUCUACAUUCAAAGGCCUGCUACUCUCCAAGGUAAUUUUGGCAUCAGAAUUUCAGCUUAAAAUUCAAAUGCAGACUGGAGCAAGCAUUCUAGACAAAAAUGUUGAAGGGAAUUUUCAAGUUGAGAUCUUCCGGUACUCUUCUUCAGCUACGCGGAGUACUACUAACGUAUCACUCCAUCACGGUGGGUAUCCUGUGGGCUACAGUAAUCACAGUGGAGCCAACAAAUUCUGUUCUUAUUGUUUUCUGAAGGAUCGUGUCAGUUGCAUUAUCAAUCGAUGCAGUCGCUUCAUCAAGAACUAACACUCGACUUCUUCUCAGCAAAGCACGCCCUAGACAGAACAGCUGCCGCUGUCCCAUGCUCCAAUUUGAUCCAUCCUCCACAACUGAUGGUAAUAAAGAGCCUUUACAAAGCUGCUGAAUAGCUAUUUACAAAUGAUUCUAUCUUAAGCAUGGCAUAGAAAAGUAUGACAACCACAUCUGGAGUUCUGGACAAGUUAUAAACCAUUUUUGUAGUCUUUCUUGAUGGAAUAGGAGGGUAGAGGGGGAGUUCUAUUAAUCCUUCAACAUCUUACCUGCAGUCU